UUGUCAAAUCAUUUUAUAAUAAAUUGCUGUUUUAUUUCUUUUCUUUUGGCAACCCCUUCUUUACAGUUACUAUUGUUGUAAAGGCAUUCUUGUUUUCACUCUUUAGGAAUUCAUUGUCCCAUAAGAUCUCAUUAUUGUUUUGGAUCUUUCGAUGCUACUAGGAACUUGGUUAUGGACAAUUACCGGUGGCGCCAUCACCAAAUGAUCCAUCACGCUUCCAACAGGGGCUUCAGAUGGUGCAGGAUUUAGCAUGGAAGAAUAAACCAUAAGGUUUUAAUUUUAAUUGUUUUUUGGUUAACAUUUUCCCUUUCUUCUGUCAGUUCAUCUAGAAUAGAGUAAAAUUAGAGAAAUGGAAAUUUAAACUGUUAGACACUACACAAAUAUUUAGGCUGGGAUGGAACUAUGUACAUUGUGGGAGGGUCCCCAAAAUUUUCUGGUUCAGUUACAAUUUAGGUCCGUACUAGUUUUAAAAUUAGUCAAAUUAAGCCCUAGCCUUUUUUUUU